AAUUAUUCCUUAAAAAACUCUUACCAGACUAGAUGUGAGGCGGCUUCGAUUUCAUACAACACUGGUGGUGGUUUUCUUGCAAAAGUUCAAGAAAGAAUGUGUGGUACUAUUGAUCAUUAUACCCGUAUAUUUCACGAGCGGAAGAUGCGAAUGUUACAUGUAAAUAGAAAAAAAGCACCGAAAAGAAAACAUUUUGCUACAGCAGACAGUCAUUAUGGGCCUAGCGCAAACCAACCAGAGGAGGACAUGGGCUCAGAAUUGUA